rnacentral:rRNA from 1 species
UAUGGGUUGUAAACUGCUUUUAUAAGGGAAUAAAGUGAGUCUCGUGAGACUUUUUGCAUGUACCUUAUGAAUAAGGACCGGCUAAUUCCGUGCCAGCAGCCGCGGUAAUACGGAAGGUCCGGGCGUUAUCCGGAUUUAUUGGGUUUAAAGGGAGCGUAGGCCGGAGAUUAAGCGUGUUGUGAAAUGUAGAUGCUCAACAUCUGCACUGCAGCGCGAACUGGUUUCCUUGAGUACGCACAAAGUGGGCGGAAUUCGUGGUGUAGCGGUGAAAUGCUUAGAUAUCACGAAGAACUCCGAUUGCGAAGGCAGCUCACUGGAGCGCAACUGACGCUGAAGCUCGAAAGUGCGGGUAUCGAACAGGAUUAGAUACCCUGGUAGUCCGCACGGUAAACGAUGGAUGCCCGCUGUUGGUCUGAAUAGGUCAGCGGCCAAGCGAAAGCAUUAAGCAUCCCACCUGGGGAGUACGCCGGCAACGGUGCAACUCAAAUGAA